CUACGUAGGGGGCGAGCGUUGUCCGGAAUGAUUGGGCGUAAAUGGCGCGUAGGCGGCCCGGUAAGUCUGGAGUGAAAGUCCUGUUUUUAAGAUGGGAAUUGCUUUGGAUACUGUCGGGCUUGAGUGCAGGAGAGGUAAGUGGAAUUCCCAGUGUAGCGGUGAAAUGCGUAGAGAUUGGGAGGAACACCAGUGGCGAAGGCGACUUACUGGACUGUAACUGACGCUGAGGCGCGAAAGUGUGGGGAGCAAACAGGAUUAGAUACCCUGGUAGUCCACACUGUAAACGAUGAAUGCUAGGUGUAGGGGGUAUCGACCCCUUCUGUGCCGCAGUCAACACAAUAAGCAUUCCGCCUGGGGAGUACGGCCGCAAGGUUGAAACUCAAAUGAAUUGACGGGG
rnacentral:rRNA from 1 species